rnacentral:rRNA from 1 species
UACAGAGGUCUCAAGCGUUGUUCGGAUUCAUUGGGCGUAAAGGGUGCGUAGGCGGCGCGGUAAGUCGGGUGUGAAAUCUCGGGGCUUAACUCCGAAACUGCAUUCGAUACUGCCGUGCUUGAGGACUGGAGAGGAGACUGGAAUUUACGGUGUAGCGGUGAAAUGCGUAGAUAUCGUAAGGAAGACCAGUGGCGAAGGCGGGUCUCCGGACAGUUCCUGACGCUGAGGCACGAAGGCCAGGGG